AAUUUUUCUCCAAAUAUUUCCAUUUUCUUUACCCUAGCUCCCUAAGAAAAUUCUGGAGAAGACUCUGGUGUCCUCUAAGUAUGGAGUUUUCACCAUAUGGAAAAGAAAUAGUAAAAUCCAUCACCAAAAUGAUGGAUUCCUUGAAAACAUCCUUGCGAGUCAAGUUGCUGCAUUAAAAAAAAAUCCUCCCCAGUGAAGGAGAAGAUAAAGAAGAAAAGAGGAAAAGAGAAAAGGGACAAAGAGAAUCACUUCCAGGGGGUAUGAGGCUCCAGACCUUAGAGAAAUCUCUUUAUUAUGAAACUGAAGACUGGGCAUAUCUGGCCCCAGGAGAGAUUCACUUACUUGCUAAAGGCCAGCUAUAUCUUCGAGGAGAUCCUCCCCAGGGGGAAGAACAGAUAAAAGGGGAAGUGGAGGUAAUUGUCAUUGUUGACCCUGUUUUUAUCCAUAGUUCAUGAAUCAUCACCGGAACACACAAUGAUGCUGAAUGUUCUCUCCAGCCUUAGGAUUUUUGUUCAAGCAAGCUCAGUUUUGAUGGCCUUUUUUGUAUGAUCAUUUUUUAAAGAAGUAUGUGAAUAUUUUAUUGUCAAAUAAUACUGAUGAAAAAAUAGAGUUGUUUUUCUCCUUGUUAAAAGAAGUAAAUGGGUUGAUAAAGCUGUUCUUUACCUACUUACUAUAUAAUCUGCCCUUAGAGCAGAGUUGAUUCUCAAGAGAAAUAUUUUUGCUUUGUGUUGGGCUUAUAUUCUUAAUUAUUGGAAGAAAAAGAGCAUAAGUUUCUCACUUUUAAAAGAAGCUAGGAUUGGGGUGCCUGGGUGGCUCAGUCGGUUGAACUUCCGACUUCAUCUAAGGUCAUGAUCUCAUGAUUUGUAGGUUCCAGCCCCGCUUCGGGCUCUGUGCUGACAGCUCAGAGCCUGGAGCCCGCUUCAGAUUCUGUCUCCCUUUCUCUCUGCCCCUCCCCCACUCACACUCGUCUGUCUCGAAAAUAAACUUAAAAAAAAACUUUUUUUAAAUGGAAGAAGCUAGGAUUAUCUAUAAUUGUGUUACUUUUUCUAUGUGUAUUUUAACAUAUUGUAUUGUCAUUUUAUUUUCUUUUAAGUUUAUUUAUUUAUUUUGAGAGAGAGAAAGAGAGAGAGAACAUAAGAAAGAGAGAGAGGAGAGAGAGAAUCCCGAGCAGGCUCCACACUGUUAGCGCAGAACCCGACAGGGGGCUGGAACUCACGAACCAUGAGAUCAUGACCAAAACUGAAAUCAAAAGUCAGAUGCUUAACCUACUAAGUCCCUCAGUCCCCCAGCCCCCUGAACUGUAUUGUCACUUUAACGGGUAAUUAAACUACACCAUUUAUUUUUAUCAGGCACCCAUCCUUUUAUCACAACCAAGUGACCAAAUGUCCUCUCAUAAUCAUUUUCAU